rnacentral:rRNA from 1 species
GGCGAACGCUGGCGGCGUGCUUAACACAUGCAAGUCGAGCGGUAAGGCUCCUUCGGGCGUACACGAGCGGCGAACGGGUGAGUAACACGUGAGUAAUCUGCCCUUCACUUCGGGAUAACCACCGGAAACGGUGGCUAAUACCGAAUACGACCAGUCUUCGCAUGAGGUGCUGGUGGAAAGUCUUUUCGGUGAAGGAUGUGCUCGCGGCCUAUCAGCUUGUUGGUGGGGUAAUGGCCUACCAAGGCUUCGACGGGUAGCCGGCCUGAGAGGGUGACCGGCCACACUGGGACUGAGACACGGCCCAGACUCCUACGGGAGGCAGCAGUGGGGAAUAUUGGACAAUGGGCGAAAGCCUGAUCCAGCAACGCCGCGUGAGGGAUGACGGCCUUCGGGUUGUAAACCUCUUUCAGUACCGACGAAGCGCCCUGUCGGGUGGUGACGGUAGGUACAGAAGAAGGACCGGCCAACUACGUG